rnacentral:rRNA from 1 species
CAAUAGCGUAUAUUAAAGCUGUUGCGGUUAAAAAGCUCGUAGUUGGAUUUCUGUCAAGGACAACUGGUCCGCCCUCCGGGUGAGCACAUAGUUUGGUCUUGGCAUCUUGCUGGAAGCUGUUGCUGCACUUGGCUGUGUGGCGCAGCGUCCAGCACUUUCACUUUGAGGAAAUUGGAGUGUUUCAAGCAGGCACAUGCCUUUGGACACAGUAGCAUGGAAUAAUUAGAUUGGGCUUUUGCUCCAAUUUGUCGGUUUCUGGAGCUGAGGUGAGAAUUAAUGGGGAUUGUUGGGGGCAUCCGAAUUUAGCCGUCAGAGGUGAAAUUCUUGGAUCUGCUAAAGACGGACAACUGCGAAAGCGUUUGCCCAGGAUGUUUUCAUGGA